rnacentral:rRNA from 1 species
CAUCGAUGAAGAACGCAGCCAGCUGCGAUAAGUAGUGUGAAUUGCAGAAUUCAGUGAAUCAUGGAAUCAUUGAAUGCAAAUGGCGCUAUUGGGUUCUCCCAGGAGCCGUCUGUUUGAGUGUCGGAUUGUACNCCAUCGCGGCUGGACCGUUUCCGUCAGCCGCGGCGUUGAGGGGACACGACGCGUUCCCGGUUAGGUCGUGUCCCCCGAAACAGAGCGUAGCCCCGUUGCCGCAGCGGUCGCGUCCGACUCUGUCCGCCAAAAGGGGAGGCUUAAGACCACCUUUCCCUGGACGGAGAAGGGCCAAAGGCAGUGAGAACGAAACCCAACUUGACUCAGAUCAGG